AAUAUAAGAAACGAGAAACAUAAGACUGGAAAAAAGCAAUACCCGAAGGCUGCAGUUUUUAAAAAUACUACUUAUGAAGCUGAAAGAGAUGCAGAUAAGAAUAUUUCUACCGUGCAAUGUGAGAGAAAGGUUGAAAAUGUGCCAAAUUGUGCUCAUUCCAAUUAUUUCCCAGUAACAAAAACACGCGCACCUAUCAUGGAAAUAAAAGUUCGAUGAUGAAAAGUUAUGACGUAAAUGAUGACGAAUACAAUCAUCUGCAUGAAAAGGAAGAGGAUUCCGAAAAUGAUGAAACUUACGACCACGCCCAAGGAAACACUAAUCGUACAAUGGAAGAUAGUGAUUACAGCAAUCUCAAUACAGGGAUAAGAUAUAAGGAACCCGGUGCCUCUGCUGCUGAAGAUAAUGAUCAUGAUGAUCGAGAGCAACCUUGUGAUUACUGUGCACUGAAAAAGCAGUAAAGAUAUUAAUUUUUGUGCAAAAACACUGCUGUGCUUAGUCAGAAUCAUGUAUUUUAUUUCUAAAACUGUUUGUUGCCUUUCAUUAACUUU